rnacentral:rRNA from 1 species
AUUGAACGCUGGCGGCAUGCCUUACACAUGCAAGUCGAACGGCAGCACGGGAGCAAUCCUGGUGGCGAGUGGCGAACGGGUGAGUAAUAUAUCGGAACGUACCUUUCAGUGGGGGAUAACGUAGCGAAAGUUACGCUAAUACCGCAUAUUCUGUGAGCAGGAAAGCAGGGGAUCUUCGGACCUUGCGCUGAUUGAGCGGCCGAUAUCAGAUUAGCUAGUUGGUGAGGUAAAGGCUCACCAAGGCGACGAUCUGUAGCGGGUCUGAGAGGAUGAUCCGCCACACUGGAACUGAGACACGGUCCAGACUCCUACGGGAGGCAGCAGUGGGGAAUUUUGGACAAUGGGGGGCAACCCUGAUCCAGCCAUGCCGCGUGAGUGAAGAAGGCCUCGGUUGUAAGCUCUUUCUAGCCGGGAAGAAAACGACGAUGGGUUAAGUACCCUGUGUGGAUGACGGUACCGGAAUAAGAAGACACCGGCGUAACUACGUGCCAGCAGCCGACGG